CUCAGUGGCCCCUCACUGGCGACGUCGGAUGAGGACCAACCUCUUAGUCCACGCUCGCUCCGGAGCAGCUCCCCGCGGCGCCUGGCCGUGCAGCUGCAAAGCCAGGCCGCUUGCGCCUCUCAGGACUCCGCAGGGCCUUCCCGCUUUCUAGCUUCCCUCCCACGGCUCCGCCACACCCAGCCAGCUCCCUGCCCUGCUCCUCACUGUCCCGCUCCCUUGUAAUGCUGACGCCGAGCGCUUGGCAGAAACCUGCGUGGAGAUUUCCACGUCUGCUCUCAGAGGAGCCCCGCCGCGAGGGUCGAGCAGGCAGAUCACGCAGGCAGCACACGCAGGAUCCCGCCUGCCGGCCCUGCCUUCUAAGCGCACAUUCACUCACGAACAGCAGUGGCUGAAUCCCCCGAUGAUACACCACCGCAUGACCACUUACCUCUCCAGGAGUCGCUCAUUCCAGUCAAGAAUGAUUCUUGCGAGAACUUCUGCCCCCAGUCCACUGAUCGCUUCCUUACAGCGAACACCUACCUAGCAGGCUUCCUGCCUCCUGAUCGCUUCUGCCCAGUUUCACUGUAGCAGCCACAGAUUCUGCUGGGACGCGGGGCUAUCCCCAUUACCCAUCUGCCUCCAGCCUCCAGGAAACUUUUCAUCUCACUCAAGCAAGAGCAAGUGUCCGUACAUUCUCCACCUCGCUCGCCAGUACCGCCCUCCCUCACCUCUCUGGUAGUCCUCUCUCCUCCUUCUAUUCUUGCCCUGGGCCAGGCCCUUUCUCCUGCUGUUGCUUUUGUCUUGAAAGCGUCUGGAGUUCAUCCAGGUUGUUCCCUCAUCCUCUCCCACAUUUAGUCAGACUUUCUCAGCCUGUUAACCCCACUGUCCAUCUUUUCCCUGAUUUAUUUUCUCCUUUUCACUUCAAUGAUUUAUCUAUUUGGCUCAUUUACCUGUUUUAUCCAUUACUAUAAAAUGUAAGACCCAUGAAAGCAGGCAUUUCUGUGUCUUGUUCACUGAUCAAUCAGCAAGAUUAUCCCAGUUCCUGGCCCAUGUUAGGUGCGAGGAAAGUAUUUGUGGAGCGAACAGGUGGUGACCGUGCCUCAGGCGGUCACUCUGGGCCCAGCUCUGUGACCCACUCUUACUGCUCGGAC
ensembl:lncRNA